rnacentral:rRNA from 1 species
GACGAACGCUGGCGGCGUGCCUAAUACAUGCAAGUCGAGCGAACAGAGAAGGAGCUUGCUCCUUUGACGUUAGCGGCGGACGGGUGAGUAACACGUGGGCAACCUACCUUAUAGUUUGGGAUAACUCCGGGAAACCGGGGCUAAUACCGAAUAAUCUGUUUCACCUCAUGGUGAAAUAUUGAAAGACGGUUUCGGCUGUCGCUAUAGGAUGGGCCCGCGGCGCAUUAGCUAGUUGGUGAGGUAACGGCUCACCAAGGCGACGAUGCGUAGCCGACCUGAGAGGGUGAUCGGCCACACUGGGACUGAGACACGGCCCAGACUCCUACGGGAGGCAGCAGUAGGGAAUCUUCCACAAUGGGCGAAAGCCUGAUGGAGCAACGCCGCGUGAGUGAAGAAGGAUUUCGGUUCGUAAAACUCUGUUGUAAGGGAAGAACAAGUACAGUAGUAACUGGCUGUACCUUGACGGUACCUUAUUAGAAAGCCACGGCUAACUACGUGCCAGCCGCCGCCGUAACAC